GUGGAGGUGAAGGUGUUUGGUUGGAGCUCCCUAUGUACCUGAGGCCUUUCAAAGUCACACCUUUUGAAAUACGUGGUCUUAGCAAAAUCCAUUUGAAAUGAAGUCUCAGAGCUGACAAGCAGUGAUUUAUCACAGAACAGAACUGAAAGAGGACAUACAGAAUAUCAUGGCUACCAGAUGUCAUUACAAACAUCACCUAACAUCAAAAGCUGCACCUCAUUAUAGAGGAAAGGAAAAGGAAAAAGAAGGAAAAUAAACACUCCAGUCUGGAAGAAGAGUAAUUCUUUAGAAGUGGUGUCAGAAAAGAGAGGAAAUGAGGUUAUGAGUUAUGCUUUGUCCCUCUUUGAAUUCUCUGUCUAGAAUUUGCAGGUGACUGAAGACGGUCAAGUUAUUGGUCCCACUGCAGACAGAAGCACACAACUCUGCUGUCUAUGAAACAUCGGCAUGGUACUCUUGUAAUGGAGGAAGGAUUGACUGAUAUUAGAACAUCUAAGAUGACAGGUCCAGAGAAGGAUUUGCCAAAGGAAUCUGGUGGUAACCAGUCAGGCUCAUACAGGGAAAUGACACAUGGAAAUAAAGCAGCCCUCCCCUUCUUCCCUCUCUUCCCUCUAGGAGUGAAUUACCUAUGAACGACAUUCUUGGGGCUUCCCAGAAAGCUUAGAGGAGCACAGAGUCAUCAGCAGGACGUUACAGUAACAAAUGAUGUAGAGAACUCUGAGUCUGAUCAGUUCUAAUGGAGUCCCACAGUGGUGCAGCAGACACAGAGUGCCCACAUCAGUUCUUCAUCAAGCAGAAUUCCUCCAAGAGCUUCAUGGCAGAGCCCCAAACCCACAGCCUUACAGGCUGGAACUGCUUCCAUCUUUUUCCUGUCUCUGAUUUCUGCAAUCAUCGUGUAUAGAUUGCCUAGACUGAAAAACAGCAAUGACAACAAAAAUCCCCCUUACUAACAACAAUAACCCCCUAUCCUCCUGUGAGUAAGGGAGUUUGGGGAACAGAGAUAACAAUCAGCCAGGCUGUGUCCUGGAGCUCCCUGCUGCAGGGACACAUCCACAUAAAGUUGCUGUUG
rnacentral:lncRNA from 1 species